UACGUAGGGUGCAAGCGUUGUCCGGAAUUAUUGGGCGUAAAGAGCUCGUAGGCGGUUUGUCGCGUCUGCUGUGAAAACGCGGGGCUCAACUCCGCGCCUGCAGUGGGUACGGGCAGACUAGAGUGCAGUAGGGGAGACUGGAAUUCCUGGUGUAGCGGUGGAAUGCGCAGAUAUCUGGAGGAACACCGGUGGCGAAGGCGGCAUCCUGGACCGGCAUUGACGCUGAGGAGCGAAAGCCAGGGGAGCAAACGGG
rnacentral:rRNA from 1 species